GCUCCAGUGGCGCAAUCGUAUAGCGUGGUACUUGUAUGACAGUGCACUGCAGAGCAAUGCCGAGGUUGUGAGUUCAAGCCUCACCUGGAGUA